GGAGCUGGAGCUCAGUGGUAGAGUGCUUGCCUACCACGCAUGAGGCCAUGGGUUCAAACCCCAGUGCCA
rnacentral:tRNA from 1 species